GCCUUUUUCAACUGAUUUGUAUAGUUCGUUCUUAUGUUGUACUGUUACACCACUGUCCCAGGUUAAGGGGAGGGUUGGGAUCCCGCUAACAUGUUUAGCCUCGCCACAUUCUGUAUGUAUGUGCCUGUCCAAAGUCAGGAGUCUUUAAUUCAGUGGUUGUCGUUUGUUGCUGUGUUACAUAUUUGUUUUUGUUCAUUUUUUUUUUAUACAUAAAUUAGGCCGUUAGUUUUCUCGUUUGAAUUGUUCUACAUUUGUCAUUUCAGGUCUUUUUAUAGCUAACUAUGAGGUAUGAGCUUUGCUCAUUGUUGAAGGUCGUACGGUGACCUAUAGUUGUUAAUUUCUGUGUCAC
rnacentral:lncRNA from 1 species